UUCUGUACAAUGGGAACGGGCCUUUAGUAAUGUUGGUAUUUCACGUGAUCUGCUUGCAGAGUCAGUUUACAAGUUUUUGCGUGAUACCUGAGUCUGUUGGACAUGUCUUUUUUUAGUAGUUACAUAUGGGGACUCCACACAGCAAGCCAGCGGAACAGACGACUUCAUCACAUGUACCUCCAGGUAUAUGUUCACCUAUAAAUUGUGCUACACAAGUCAAACAUAUAUAUGUUCAACUAUAUAUGUGUUGCAGGCCCGAUGGAGGGGACAAGUGUUGACGACUCUAACGAAGGGAUUAUACCCGUAGCCGAUGAUGUUGACAAAAUUUACCCACGUAGUCCAGGAGUCCAUAUUACUCCCUCCGAACGGAUGAUACUUGAGACCGAUGGUGAUAGCACAUAUGAUACUCCAGGUAUAUAUCAACCUCCUUGUAUAUGUUCAGCUACAUAUUUUGGUAUGCAUGUCAAACACCAUCACAGGAGAUGUUGCAGGCCCGAUGGAGGGGCCAAAUGGUGACGACUCUAAUGAAGGGGUUAUACCUGGAGCCGACGAUGUUCACAAGAAUUACCCAAGUAGUCCAGGUACUAAGGCUGUGCAUAUAUACUGAGAUUGCUUUUAUGCUUUUUAUGUGAUAAAUCAAACCUAACAGACUUGGGCAGAACCGAUUCUAAUAGAUCAAGCGUGUGACUUGUAGGAGUCCAUAUUACUCACUCGGACAGGACGAUACUUGAACAGGCCGAUUGUGAAAGGACAUAUGUUCAUCAACCUUCCCAUCUGAUUUCGGGUAAGUAUUAUGUUGUCGAAAGGUUAAGACCAUGUGCCUACAACUUUGCCUUGUUUUGGUCCAAUAUAUUGUUAUGUUAACAUGAUGCAGACAACCCUCCAAUCUCAUUCCUAUAUAAUGUAGAUUCGUUGCCAGCUCUCAGUUAUCUGACAAAAUAACUAGCUAGCAUGCAACGUGACAGUUGGCAAGAGAGGCCGCAUAAUGUUCCACGCCAUCCUCACAGUGAUAUCACUAAUGCAGAUGAACCAUCCUCUGUGGACCUUGACGAAAAAAGAGAGUUGAUAAAAGCUCGGAGGCGAGCUGCUUAUAGAAAGAAAAAAGAGGAGGCUACCGUCAAGCAACAAGAGGAAAAUCUGUCUGCCCUUACGAUAUCAGGUAAGAAUGCUUUAUGGGAAGGCACUGUGAUGAUAUUAUAUAUACUCCCUCCAUUCCAUAAUAUAAUGUUAAUAUCAUUUCACAUGCAGAUAUGCUGAAUGUGGGUGGGUUACCUCUCGGUGAUAUCACUAAUGUGUGUCAACCAAGCACGGUGGACCUUGACGAUAAAAAAGAGCAACUAAAGUCUCGGAGAAGAGCUGCUUAUCGAAAGAAAAAAGAGGAGGCAGCCAGCAAGCAAAAAGAUGAAAAUCUGACUGCCCUUACGAUAUCAGGUAAGGAUGUUUAUGUUUCAGCAAUAUGAUGACCGUAUGUAUACUUUCUUAGUGAAAUGUAGGCGACAUAUGUUUCCUCACCCCAACCCCACGAAUAAUUGACCAAGAAUAGAGAAUAAAAAUAAUUGACCAAUAGUUGACCACUGUGUUAACAUACAAUUCCUGAUCAUUUAGCUAUACAUCAUUGUUUAACCUGACCGUGCA